UGGUUCCCUUGAGGAGUGGCUUCCGGGAGUUAACGCGUUAAGUCGAACCGGCUUGGGGGAGUCCGUCCGCUUAGGUUUAAAUUCAAAUGAAUGUCGGGGGCCCUCACUUAGCUGGUGGAGCAUGUGGUUUAAUUUCGAUGCAACGCGAAGAACCUUACCUACUCUUGACAUCACACGGAAUUUAGCUAGAGAUGCUUUGGGCCUUCGGGUAUCCGUGAGACAGGUGCUGCAUGUCUGUCGUCAGCUCGUGUUGUGUAAUGUUGGGUUAAGUCCCGCAACGAGCGCAACCCUUAUCUUUUGUUGCCAGCGGUCCGGCCGGGAGCUCAAAGGAGACUGCCAGUGAUUAACUGGAGGAAGGUGGGGAUGACGUCAAGUCAUCAUGGCCCUUACGAGUAGGGCUACACACGUGCUACUAUGGCAUAUACAAAGAGAAGCCGACCUCGCGAGAGCAAUCGGACCUCAUAAAAUAUGUCUUAGUCCGGAUUGGAGUCUGCAACUCGACUCCAUGAAGUCGGAAUCGCUAGUUAUCGU
rnacentral:rRNA from 1 species